rnacentral:rRNA from 1 species
CCUACGGGAUGCAGCAGUGGGGAAUAUUGCACAAUGGGGGAAACCCUGAUGCAGCGACGCCGCGUGAAGGAAGAAGUAUUUCGGUAUGUAACCUUCUAUCAGCAGGGAAGAAAAUGACGGUACCUGACAAAGAAGCCCCGGCUAACUACGUUCCAGCAGCCGAGGUAAUACGUAGGGGGCAAGCGUUAUCUGGAUUUACUGGGUGUAAAGGGAGCGUAGGCGGUGGUGCAAGUCAGAUGUGAAAGCCCGCAGGUCAACUGCGGGACUGCUUUUGAAACUGUAUGACUAGAUUGCAGGAGAGGUAAGUGGGAUUCCUAGGGUAGCGGUGAAAUGCGCAGAUAUUAGGAGGAACACCAGUGGCGAAGGCGGCUUACUGGACUGUAAAUGACGCUGAGGCUCGAAAGCGUGGGGAGCAAACAGGAUUAGAUACCCUUGUAGUC